ensembl:lncRNA
UCGAGGGGUCCGACGCCGGGGAGCAGGGGGACCCCCGGGGUCCGAGUCGUCCGAGUCCUCGAAGAUAUCAUAGGAGGGUCGCUGUUUGACGCAGCGCCGGGCUGACUUGCGCUGCAGUAGGAGGGAGUCCUGCUCCUCCGGCCCUGGGGGGGCCACCACCUCCUCCCGGGGCCCCCCAGCUCCCGCCCCCCGGCGUGGGCCUGGAGGACCAGGGGAGGCCUCAGGAGAUUCAUCGGAAUCCCAGGGCAACAGCGUCUUCACUAUCGUCCGGCCUGUGGGAACAGGGGACUUGGUAGGAUCUGAGCUCAGCCAGGGACAUGGGACAUCGGAAUGGAGAAAAGCCAGAAAAAAGUGGGGCAGAAGAGAACAAGUAUGGGAGAAACCAAAGCACACGAUGGAAAAGAUGACAAGGAUGGUGGACUGCAAAGACAAGGGGAGAUGAGCAAAGAGAGCAUGGUUUCCCCAUACCAAGAAUCUAAACAAGGCUGUAUAAAGAAACGCUCCGCAAACCUCGUUACCUUUUUUAGCCAGCCGUUCCAUCUUCCGAGCCUCUAUCUUGUCGCACUUCCGGUAUCUGGGGAGGGGAGCAGCACGUCACCAGGGUAAGGGACUGGUGGUCUGGGGGAAGAGAGGAAGCUCUCCACAAGGAUGCCAAUCCCACUGCUCUGGCAAGACAGGAGGCCUGGGUGACUGACAACCAUGGGUGGGAAUGGAAGCUGCACCCCAGCUACUCACACACAGCACUGCUUCUUGGUGUUGGGGCCUCCAAACUUGGGCUUGUCCAGGCAGUUGACACAAGACCCACAGUCCUGCACACGCAGGCAGCCCCGACACUGUCCACACCGUGCCAUCCGCAUCUUCUUGCCAUGAUGGGAGGGCAGAGAGCGCCGGGGUGUAUGGGCCAGGGUCCCUGCGGACCCUGCAGGCUCUGAGUCUCCCCCAGCCCCUGCUGACUCCACCUUUCCCCGCCGGGACCGUGACGGGACACUCUCGGUCUCAGAUGCUGAUGAAGUAUCUAGUGCAGCGGAGAGGAGGGGAUGGAGCCUCGAAGACACCUGCCCUUCUACCUCACUUCCCUCUUCUCCCCUAGAUUCCAUUCAAUCAGCCCGCUGGCCCCUACUUUCCCAUAUUGCUCAGGUUCCAGGUGCCCCCAAACCUGCUCUAAGACCUCGCAUUUCAAUCCCCUUGUCACCUAACCCCAAGCACCCACUCUGCUCUCAUUCUCCUAGGCAUUCGCCGGCCCCCGAACUUGACACAGCUGUCAAAUCUCCCCACAACACACCCACCCCUACCCUCUGUUGCGAGGUCCUGCCGAUCCCGGAGAGGGAGAGCACUCAGGCGGGGGACGUCUUCAGGCACCAUGGCCCGGGCCUGCCCCAGGGCCACAGCAGCAUGACGGCAGACGUGUUUGAUGCGGGGACCUUGCACGGGGGACUCAGGGCCCUGGGGGAGAGAAACCACGUGUGGCUAGCUGCCCCUUGUGCUCCUGCAACCAGCCUUCCUCAGACAGCCCUCCUCCCAUUCCAUACCGAUGGUCUCUCUCUCUUAAUUUCCACUGAUUCAUCUUCAGACCUGACAGCAGCUCUAUCUGAGAUCUGCUUGACAGUCCCCAUGACCUCCUCCAUCUGCCCUCCAGGGCUUGGCUAGGGGGGAAUAAACAGGGUCAGAGGCUAGAAAGUGAGGAAUAAUGGGCUGGGGGAGUACCAUGGGGGAGGGAAGGGGCCAGGAAAGGAACACAGGAAGCUGAGGGACGGGAGAAGAACUGGCUCUGAGGGUUCCCUGCAGGGCUGGGGGCUCUAGGGAGAAGGUUAAGGGGCUGCAGAGAAUCGAGGCUGGAUGACUCGGUGCAGGGGCCUGGCCAAUGCACCACGCUCACCGGCAUCAGAGAAGCCACCUUCUGCUGCUGCUGCUGGUCGAUCUUGAAUAGCUGCACCUUGGCUCUCUUGAGGAGGCUGAACAUUUUCUCCUCCACACCAGACAGUGGUAAGGAACCCAGACCUGCAAUCCGGGGCUUCUCCAGGAGUGAUGGCUGCUGUGGUGGUGGCGGUGGCUGCAGCUGUAACUGUGGCUGCAGUUGUGGCUGCUGGGGUGGUAAUGCCUGGGGCAGCAGCUGGGUUUGCAAGGCCUGCAGGGGCUGCUGUAGCUGAGCCUGAGGCUGCUGCCCAUUGCUCGGAGUUGGAACCGCAGGAGGGGGCACCUCAGCCUUAACAGGAGUGGCAACCACCGGGGCGAAUCGAGGCAGACUGAGGUGGUUGGUACGGCCCGCUGCCCGUGGCUCAGGCUCAGCUGGAGAAUCAUCAGCGGGAGGAGGCUCUGGCUCAGGGGCUUCAGGGGCCCCAAGAGGAGGAGUAGUAAGCACCGAUUCGUAGAUCUUCAGGUGGGCUUCGCUUGGGGUAAACUGAGGGGCCCGAAGGAGCAGGGGCCUCCGGGAUGGAGUGACAGGGGCAGGAGGUGGGGGUGGGGCUGGUGGAGGGGGCUGGGGGGGAGGAGGGGCAGCUCCCGGGUCAGUGAAGUCCAGCGAAAUGUGGGUUCCCUCAGGAUGGACCGUCUCUUCUCAGGGAGUGGUACUGGGGUAGAUGGGGGAGUUGGGGCAUGAGGUGGAGAGGGGGCUGGUGAUGGUUCCUGGGGGGCAAGUGGGGAGACGGCAACGGGAGGCCGCAGAGUAGGUGAGACCUCCACCUUUAGGGGUUUGGGGGGAUCUUCAUCCAUAAAUCGCCGGGGUGUCUUGAUGACACGGGAAGAGCGGGCACUCACCACAGGCAUAAUAAACUGCCGGAUAUUCUUCAGGAAGGUGGUACUUUUGGGGGCCACAGUGGGGCUGUCUUCCAGAGAGCCUCCUGUGGUGGUGGUGCUGGGAGCUGGAGUGGGAGGAGAGGUGCCCUCCGGCCCUGCUCGAGCAGCUUCCCGCUCUGCCCGCUGGCUGGGAGUCAGGGGAGGCCGGCCCCUCUUCCUGGAGCAUGUAGCUGGGACCACAGGAGGAGGGGAUUCCUCCUGCUCCUCUGGGGCAGGAGGUGGUGGAGGGGCUGGAGGAGUCAGGGGUGGUGAUGGCAGCUUUGCCUCUUCCUUUUCCUCAGCUACGCUCUCCUCUUCCUCAGCUACAGCUUUCUCUUCCUUCUCUUCCCCCUCCUCCUCGUCUUUCUCCUCUUCUUUCUCCUCCUCUCCCUUUUCCUCCAGCUUCUGCUCCUUCUUCCAGCAGGGGCCCUCUCCCUGUUCAGACCCAAUUCUUCCUUGGGGGGCAUCCUGCCAGCUUUCUUCAUGUGGAUCUUGACCCUGACCUGAUUCAAGUCCCAAGGACAACUGUCCCAUCUUCACUUUUUUGGCCUUUGAAACAAACUUGAUCACGAAGGGGAGCCCUCCUCGGCCUCGGCCCCUGCCUCCACGACCUCCUCGCCCAGACUGUCCUCCACGCUUGGGGGUCCCAGGUCCUGGGCCGGGCCCCUCCUUGCACUUCCAGCUGCCAGUUCGGUGUUUUACUGGAACCACAGGAGGUGGUGGCUCAGGUUUGGGGAUUGUCACAGCUGCUUCUGCCACCACUACUGCUUGCUGCUUUUUCCUGCAGGGGCCUGCUGGCCGUCCUGGGGGCCGUCCCCGAGACCGACGGGGAGUGGAGGGCUCGCAUGCCCGGCUCCGGGGAGCUGGGGGUGCCUGGGCCCGCCGGAGAAGUUCAGUCAGUGCCUGCACCAUCCGUUCCGUGCCCUCCUCACCCCGUUUCCGGGCAGGAGUCUUUGGGGGGGUAGGAGCCACAUCUGCUAGGCGAGGAGGCGGAAGGGGGGUCGUCUUAUGCUUGCGGCCCCGACCUCGGGGGGCUCGACCUAAAAGGAGAAUAGGUGUGGGGAGAUGGGUCAAGCUAGCCCUGCAGACUGAGGAAGGCACUCCAGGAGGGCAGGGACUAAGUCUUACUUGUCUGUUUCCCCCACAGCCCAGCCUAACUUGGGCUCUGAACACAGAACACACUCGGUAACUGAUGGAGACUCUAGUGGAACAGGGAAGAGCUGACACGAGGAGUGAGAAUAACAUUCCUGUAAAACUAUACAGGUAGUUUCCCCAUCACUCACCUCGCUGGGAUCGGAGCGCAGAGCGCAGGGAACUGGGGGCCACAUCUUCAUCUGAAUGAAAACCCUGAAACUCCUGAUUUAGGGGACCAGGGGUGGAGGGGAGAAACAGCAGUCAGUGCCAAAGCCCUCUUGCCAUCUGAGACUCAGGUAUU